UCAUGGUCUCUGUGCAUAUAAUGUCUUCUGCAGUUUCCACAGUAUGCAUCCGAUGAAGUGAGCUGCAGCCCACGAAAGCCCACGCUCAAACAAAUUGGCCAGUCUCCAAGGUGCCACAAGUACUCCCCCUCUUUCUGCAAAUACAGACCAACACGGCUGCCACUCUGAAACCUCUCA